GUGAAGUGAUGAAUUGGUUUAUCCAUUCUCUGAGUGCUGCUGGCUUACUUCCCGCUGCGCCCUCCUCCUUUCUGGAGGUGGGGCGCCGCUGCUCCAGUCCAUGAGCUGUCCCUGCGUUCUGCCGGGUAGCUACCUGGACUGUACAGUGAGACGGGACUUGGCCUGGUUACUGCAAAGAUGAAUUCAUGUUCUGAUCAC